UACGUAGGUGGCAAGCGUUGUCCGGAUUUACUGGGCGUAAAGAGCGCGCAGGCGGUCGUUCAAGUCGCGUGUGAAAGCCCCCGGCUCAACUGGGGAGGGUCACGCGAUACUGAUCGACUCGAAAGCAGGAGAGGGUAGUGGAAUUCCCGGUGUAGUGGUGAAAUGCGUAGAUAUCGGGAGGAACACCAGUGGCGAAGGCGACUACCUGGCCUGUUCUUGACGCUGAGGCGCGAAAGCUAGGGGAGCAAACGGG
rnacentral:rRNA from 1 species